rnacentral:rRNA from 1 species
CCUACGGGAGGCUGCAGUCGAGAAUCAUUCACAAUGGGGGAAACCCUGAUGGUGCGACGCCGCGUGGGGGAAUGAAGGUCUUCGGAUUGUAAACCCCUGUCAUGUGGGAGCAAAUUAAAAAGAUAGUACCACAAGAGGAAGAGACGGCUAACUCUGUGCCAGCAGCCGCGGUAAUACAGAGGUCUCAAGCGUUGUUCGGAAUCACUGGGCGUAAAGCGUGCGUAGGCUGUUUCGUAAGUCGUGUGUGAAAGGCGCGGGCUCAACCCGCGGACGGCACAUGAUCCUGCGAGACUAGAGUAAGGGAGGGGGAACCGGAAUUCUCGGUGUAGCAGUGAAAUGCGUAGAUAUCGGGAGGAACACUCGUGGCGAAGGCGGGUUCCUGGACAUUAACUGACGCUGAGGCACGAAGGCCAGGGGAGCGAAAGGGAUUAGAUACCCCUGUAGUC